rnacentral:rRNA from 1 species
AUGCCCAACACCAAAAAUCAAUAUCUUGUCUUUCUGGCGUCGUCUUUAGACUUCCUUCUCGUCAUGCGUUACACUGAUCUGGAGACUAUCCACGAACCUCGUCCCUUCAGCCAGUGCCGUGUAAUUCCCCUCGAAAUACUCAGCAUACUCGAUAGCUCUGUACCUCGCGUCGCCGAGCCCCGGGAGCGGCCUCACCAUGCCGCCGACGCAAGCCUCCUGGAACACCACCGCGGUCGCCCGGCCUCUCUCGGCGUCCGCCAGCACCCUGUGCUCGGGGCUCUUGUAUCUGCCGUUGGUGAGGAUCUGGAGCAUGUCGCCGACGUUGAUGACGAGGGCGCCCGGCAGCGAGUCCAGCGGGAACCACCUGCCGUCCCUCCUCACCUGCAGGCCGGGGGUGUCGUCCACGUGCAGCAGCAGCGUCAGGCCGAGGCCGUCGUGGUGCGGCGUGAUGCCCAGCACCUUGUCCGGGUGCUGGCACGGAGGGUAGUGAUGCAGGGCCACGGUUUGCUUCUUGCCCCGGAAGGCCCCGGCGAGCGCCUCCGGCUCCACCCCGAGGUCGCUCGCCAUGAACGCCAGGAGCCGGCUCGUGAGCUUGGACAUCUCCAGCGAGUACUUGUCCAGUGA